AGAUCCGAGCGUCAGCGCGAUCUGGCAGAAGCACUUUUGAGUUAUUUAGAGGAGCUACUUUCAGAAUAUGUCCCAUAGAUACCGCUAGUAGUGAGAGGUACUUUUUACGAAACCGCGUCGUUUUAGGUUUGAAUUUUCCAACGAAUUGCCCGUCGCUAUUGCACUAAGCCAUUGCAUUGCCUUUGCCGCACGCUAUUUCCACGUUGAUUUCCACCUAUUUCUGAUUUCCCGAGUGUAUUUAGUUUCCUGAAAUCGAGUGCUCUUAUCUUUUCUUCAAGAUGAAUCCUCAAUUUG